UUACGGCCAUAUCACGUUGAAACACCGGUUUUCAUACAAUAACUGAAGUUAAGCAACAUUGAGCUUGGGGAGUAUCUAGAUGGGUAACCGCUUAGAAAUACCAGGUGCUGCAA